AACGAACGCUGGCGGCAGGCCUAACACAUGCAAGUCGAGCGAGGACUUCGGUUCUAGCGGCGGACGGGUGAGUAACGCGUGGGAAUGUGCCCUUCUCUACGGAAUAGCCCUGGGAAACUGGGAGUAAUACCGUAUACGCCCUAUUGGGGAAAGAUUUAUCGGAGAAGGAUCAGCCCGCGUUGGAUUAGGUAGUUGGUGGGGUAAUGGCCUACCAAGCCGACGAUCCAUAGCUGGUUUGAGAGGAUGAUCAGCCACACUGGGACUGAGACACGGCCCAGACUCCUACGGGAGGCAGCAGGGGGGAAUCUUAGACAAGGGGGGGAACCCUGAUCUAGCCAGGCCGCGUGAGUGAUGAAGGCCUUAGGGUUGUAAAGCUCUUUCAGCGGGGAAGAUAUGACGGUACCAGCAGAAGAAGCCCCGGCUAACUCCGUG
rnacentral:rRNA from 1 species